GGGUCAGUAGGUUGGUCGUGCCACCGGUACGUACUGUUCUCACUGAUUCCUCCUUCCUGAAGAACCGUAAUGCCAUUAAUUUGGUGUUGCGGGGAAACAGGACAGUUACUUUGAAAAAAUUAGAGUGUUUAAAGCAAGCUAACGCUUGAAUACAUUAGCAUGGAAUAAUGAAAUAGGACGAUCGAUCCUAUUUUGUUGGUUUCUAGGAUUGACGUA
rnacentral:rRNA from 1 species